UACGUAGGGUGCGAGCGUUGUCCGGAAUUACUGGGCGUAAAGAGCUCGUAGGUGGUUUGUCGCGUCGUCUGUGAAAUUCCGGGGCUUAACUCCGGGCGUGCAGGCGAUAGGGGCAAUACUUGAGUGCUGUAGGGGAGACUGGAAUUCCUGGUGUAGCGGUGAAAUGCGCAGAUAUCAGGAGGAACACCGAUGGCGAAGGCAGGUCUCUGGGCAGUAACUGACGCUGAGGAGCGAAAGCAUGGGUAGCGAACAGGAUUAGA
rnacentral:rRNA from 1 species